ACUCAAAUGAAUUGACGGGGGUCCGCACAAGCGGUGGAACAUGUGGUUCAAUUCGACACUACGCGAGGAACCUUACCUAGGCUUGACAUAUACCUGACCGCUGUAGAAACACAGCUUUUCUUACGAAAGUAAGAACGGGUAAACAGGUGCUGCAUGGCUGUCGUCAGCUCGUGUCGUGAGAUGUUGGGUUAAGUCCUUUAACGAGCGCAACUCCUGCCAUUAGUUGCCAUCCCGCAAGGGGGCACUCUAAUGGGACUGCCUGGGAAACCAGGAGGAAGGUGGGAAUGACGUCAAGUCCGCAUGGUCCUUAUGCCUAGGGCUACACACGUGUUACAAUGGCUGAUACAAAGAGCAGCGAGCUCGUAAGAGCAAGCAAAUCUCAUAAAGUCAGUCUAAGUUCGGAUUGAGGUCUGCAACUCGACCUCAUGAAGCUGAAAUCGCUAGUAAUCGCAUAUCAGAACGAUGCGGUGAAUACGUUCUCGGACCUUGCACACACCGCCCGU
rnacentral:rRNA from 1 species